rnacentral:lncRNA from 1 species
GCACAGAUACCAUACCCAAGACAAGUUCCUUCGCCCGUUUCUCCAACAUGUCUAUACAGCACGUACAAAAUGCAAUGGCAAUGGGCAAGGAUCGCCUUCGUUGGGAAAAUCACUAGUUUUAGCAAAGCCUGGAAAAAGAUUAAGCACAGUUUGAGCUGGAAAUCUGCAGGAGAGCAGAGCAAGCCCUUUUCUUCUGUGUGCAUUGUGGAGCAUGAGACUUACAGAGCAAUCGGGGGAAAUUAGAGAAUUGCUACCUUCCAGAUUCAAAGAGUUGGGCAUAUAUCAUCAUUGAUAUAACAAUAACAGAUGUCUUAUUUGUGGAUUCCUCUCCUGUCUGCCUCACAGCAAUGAUUUUACUACUUGUGAAGGAUUACGAAAAAUUACUGGAAGAUUUACAAGAGGUCUCUGCAGUAUUUAUCUAGAAGCCAAGUAUAAUAUUGUUUUUCCAAACCCAUCAACCAACACAACUUAAUCCUGACUCAAAAGAGCUGCAUUAUUCUUUCUUUAGCCUGUGUGAUUACAGCUUCUGUACCUUUUUUGUCAAUAAAAGUUGGAUUAGUCGCA